rnacentral:tRNA from 1 species
UCCAGGGUAGCCUAGUGGACAUGGCACCUGCCCGGUAAGCAGAAGGUUGUGGGUUCAAUUCCCUCCCCUGGAC